CAUGUCUAAGUAUAAGCAAUCUAUACUGUGAAACUGCGAAUGGCUCAUUAAAUCAGUUAUCGUUUAUUUGAUAGUACCUUACUACUUGGAUAACCGUGGUAAUUCUAGAGCUAAUACAUGCUAAAAACCCCGACUUCGGGAGGGGUGUAUUUAUUAGAUAAAAAACCAAUGCCCUUCGGGGCUCUUUGGUGAUUCAUGAUAACUUAACGAAUCGCAUGGCCUUGCGCCGGCGAUGGUUCAUUCAAAUUUCUGCCCUAUUAACUUUCGAUGGUAGGAUAGAGGCCUACCAUGGUAUCAAUGGGUAACGGGGAAUUAGGGUUCUAUUCCGGAGAGGGAGCCUGAGAAACGGCUACCACAUCCAAGGAAGGCAGCAGGCGCGCAAAUUACCCAAUCCCGACACGGGGAGGUAGUGACAAUAAAUACUGAUACAGGGCUCUUUUGGGUCUUGUAAUUGGAAUGAGUACAAUUUAAAUACCUUAACGAGGAACAAUUGGAGGGCAAGUCUGGUGCCAGCAGCCGCGGUAAUUCCAGCUCCAAUAGCGUAUAUUAAAGUUGUUGCAGUUAAAAAGCUCGUAGUUGAACCUUGGGCCUGGCUGGCCGGUCCGCCUCACCGCGUGUACUGGUCCGGCCGGGCCUUUCCUUCUGGGGAUCCGCAUGGCCUUCACUGGCUGUGUCGGGGAACCAGGACUUUUACUUUGAAAAAAUUAGAGUGUUCAAAGCAGGCCUUUGCUCGAAUACAUUAGCAUGGAAUAAUAGAAUAGGACGUGCGGUCCUAUUUUGUUGGUUUCUAGGACCGCCGUAAUGAUUAAUAGGGAUAGUCGGGGGCAUCAGUAUUCAAUUGUCAGAGGUGAAAUUCUUGGAUUUAUUGAAGACUAACUACUGCGAAAGCAUUUGCCAAGGAUGUUUUCAUUAAUCAGUGAACGAAAGUUAGGGGAUCGAAGACGAUCAGAUACCGUCGUAGUCUUAACCGUAAACUAUGCCGACUAGGGAUCGGGCGAUGUUAUUCUUUUGACUCGCUCGGCACCUUACGAGAAAUCAAAGUCUUUGGGU
rnacentral:rRNA from 1 species